GACGAACGCUGGCGGCGUGCUUAACACAUGCAAGUCGGACGGUAAGGCCCUUCGGGGUACACGAGUGGCGAACGGGUGAGUAACACGUGGGUGAUCUGCCCUGCACUUCGGGAUAAGCCUGGGAAACUGGGUCUAAUACCGGAUAGGACCACUGCCUGCAUGGGUGGUGGUGGAAAGCUUUUGCGGGUUGGGAUGGGCCCGCGGCCUAUCAGCUUGUUAGUGGGGUGAUGGCCUACCAAGGCGACGACGGGUAGCCGGCCUGAGAGGGUGACCGGCCACACUGGGCCUGAGAUACGGCCCAGACUCCUACGGGGGGCAGCAGUGGGGAAUAUUGCACAAUGGGCGCAAGCCUGAUGCAGCGACGCCGCGUGAGGGAUGACGGCCUUCGGGUUGUAAACCUCUUUCAGCACCGACGAAGCGCAAGUGACGGUAGGUGCAGAAGAAGGACCGGCCAACUACGUGCCAGCAGCCGCCGUAA
rnacentral:rRNA from 1 species